AAGUAAGAAGCAAAUUUUGCAAUCAGUUUCGACCUGAUCUUAGAUAAGCCAACUUAUCCUUACUUU
rnacentral:tRNA from 1 species